GUAGCGCAGGCGGCGUUGUCAAGACAGAUGUGAAAUCCCCGGGCUCAACCUGGGAACUGCAUUUGUGACUGCAAGGCUAGAGUACGGCGAGAGGGGAGGUGGAAUUCCGCGUGUAGCAGUGAAAUGCGUAGAUAUGCGGAGGAACACCGAUGGCGAAGGCAAUCCCCCUGGGCCUGUACUGACGCUCAUGCACGAAAGCGUGGGGAGCAAACAGGAUUAGAUACCCUAGU
rnacentral:rRNA from 1 species